rnacentral:rRNA from 1 species
CCAAUAGCGUAUAUUAAAGUUGUUGCAGUUAAAAAGCUCGUAGUUGAAUUUCGGGACUAAUAUGUCGGUCGUGCCUCGGUACGUACUGGUUUAUUGGUUUCUCCUUUCUGAAGAACCAUGAUGUCAUUUAUUUGGUGUCGUGGGGAAUCAGGACUGUUACUUUGAAAAAAUUAGAGUGUUUAAAGCAGGCUUUAGCUUGAAUACAUUAGCAUGGAAUAAUGAAAUAGGACGUUCGAACCUAUUUUGUUGGUUUCUAGGAUCAACGUAAUGAUUAAUAGGGAUAGUUGGGGGCAUUAGUAUUCAAUUGUCAGAGGUGAAAUUCUUGGAUUUAUUGAAGACUAACUACUGCGAAAGCAUUUGCCAAGGAUGUUUUCAUUAAUCAAGAACGAAAGUUAGGGGAUCGAAGACGAUCAGAUACCGUCGUAGUCUUAACCAUAAACUAUGCCGACUAGGGAUCGGAUGAUGUUAAUUUUUUAAUGACUCAUUCGGCGCCUUACG